CUACGGGGCGCUCCAGUGGGGAAUAUUGCACAAUGGGCGAAAGCCUGAUGCAGCAACGCCGCGUGAGGGACGACGGCCUUCGGGUUGUAAACCUCUUUUAGCAGGGAAGAAGCGAAAGUGACGGUACCUGCAGAAAAAGCACCGGCUAACUACGUGCCAGCAGCCGCGGUAAUACGUAGGGUGCAAGCGUUGUCCGGAAGUAUUGGGCGUAAAGAGCUCGUAGGCGGUUUGUCGCGUCUGCUGUGAAAAUCCGAGGCUCAACCUCGGACCUGCAGUGGGUACGGGCAAACUAGAGUGCGGUAGGGGAGAUUGGAAUUCCUGGUGUAGCGGUGGAAUGCGCAGAUAUCAGGAGGAACACCAAUGGCGAAGGCAGAUCUCUGGGCCGUAACUGACGCUGAGGAGCGAAAGCGUGGGGAGCGAACAGGAUUAGAUACCCCCGUAGUC
rnacentral:rRNA from 1 species